CCUAUCCGUCCAAUAUAGAUAACCCUAAUACUAAUCGCUAACUCUGGUAACUCUCUCACUCUCAGUUUUCUUUCUUCUUCGUUUUUUUUCUCUCUGAAGCAGUGAAGCUAUGAAGAGCAGCCUCUUCAUCUCUGAGUAACUACGGCUACCCUCACCAAUCAAUCAGGAAAUCACCAAUUCACGAUCAUCAUCAAGUGAUUCAAGUCUUACUAGUUAGUAGCUAUCAAUCAAUCAGGUUAAGUGGUGACUGCCAAGGAUACCAAUUUUUUCUUCGUCUAUCAGAUUCAAUCUAAACCUUUUUGUUUCCAAGGUUGAGGUUGUCCUAUCCAAUCAAUGGCCUUAUUGGAGGGGAAAGUGCAGAUUUGUGG